UACUGAUUUGCUUAAUUGCACCACAUGUGUUUUUCUUUGAAACAAACUUGCUUUGGCGGUGGGCCCAGCCUGCCGCCAGAGGUCUAAACUUACAACCAAUUUUUUAUCAACUUGUCACACCAGAUUAUUACUAAUAGUCAAAACUUUCAACAACGGAUCUCUUGGUUCUCGCAUCGAUGAAGAACGCAGCGAAAUGCGAUACGUAAUAUGAAUUGCAGAUAUUCGUGAAUCAUCGAAUCUUUGAACGCACAUUGCGCCCUCUGGUAUUCCGGAGGGCAUGCCUGUUUGAGCGUCGUUUCUCCCUCAAACCGCUGGGUUUGGUGUUGAGCAAUACGACUUGGGUUUGCUUGAAAGACGGUAGUGGUAAGGCGGGAUCGCUUUGACAAUGGCUUAGGUCUAACCAAAAACAUUGCUUGCGGCGGUAACGUCCACCACGUAUAUCUUCAAACUUUGACCUCAAAUCAGGUAGGACUACCCGCUGAACUUAA
rnacentral:rRNA from 1 species